rnacentral:rRNA from 1 species
UGGGGAAUAUUGCACAAUGGGCGAAAGCCUGAUGCAGCGACGCCGCGUGUGGGAUGACGGCCUUCGGGUUGUAAACUUCUUUCAGCAGGGACGAAGCUCAAGUGACGGUACCUGCAGAAGAAGCACCGGCUAACUACGUGCCAGCAGCCGCGGUAAUACGUAGGGUGCAAGCGUUGUCCGGAAUUACUGGGCGUAAAGAGUUCGUAGGCGGUUUGUCGCGUCGUUUGUGAAAACCAGCAGCUCAACUGCUGGCUUGCAGGCGAUACGGGCAGACUUGAGUACUGCAGGGGAGACUGGAAUUCCUGGUGUAGCGGUGAAAUGCGCAGAUAUCAGGAGGAACACCGGUGGCGGAGGCGGGUCUCUGGGCAGUAACUGACGCUGAGGAACGAAAGCGUGGGUAGCGAACAGG